rnacentral:rRNA from 1 species
AGAGUUUGAUCCUGGCUCAGAACGAACGCUGGCGGCAGGCCUAACACAUGCAAGUCGAACGCUGUAGCAAUACAGAGUGGCAGACGGGUGAGUAACACGUGGGAAUCUUCCUAUCGGUGGGGAAUAGCUCAGGGAAACUUGAGGUAAUACCGCAUACGCCCGCAAGGGGAAAGAUUUAUUGCCGAUAGAUGAGCCCGCGUCUGAUUAGCUAGUUGGUAAGGUAAUGGCUUACCAAGGCUACGAUCUGUAACCGGUCUUAGAGGACGGUCGGUCACACUGACACUGAAUAACGGGUCAGACUCCUACGGGAGGCAGCAGUCGGGAAUUUUGGGCAAUGGGCGAAAGCCUGACCCAGCAACGCCGCGUGAAGGAUGAAGUAUUUCGGUAUGUAAACUUCGAAAGAAUAGGAAGAAUAAAUGACGGUACUAUUUAUAAGGUCCGGCUAACUACGUGCCAGCAGCCGCGGUAAU